GCAAGUCGAACGGUAACAUGAAGUAGCUUGCUACUUUGAUGACGAGUGGCGGACGGGUGAGUAAUGCGUAGAAACAUACCUUUCAAUGGGGGACAACUCAGGGAAACUUGAGCUAAUACCGCAUAAUGCCUUCGGGUUAAAGGUGGCUUUGGCUGUCGUUGAAAGAUUGGUCUACGUUGGAUUAGCUAGUUGGUAAGGUAAAGGCUUACCAAGGCGACGAUCUAUAGCUGUUCUGAGAGGAAGAUC
rnacentral:rRNA from 1 species